rnacentral:rRNA from 1 species
GAUGAACGCUGGCGGUAUGCUUAACACAUGCAAGUCGAACGGACUCUUCGGAGUUAGUGGCGGACGGGUGAGUAACGCGUGAGAAUCUGGCUUUGGGUUCGGGACAACCACUGGAAGCGGUGGCUAAUACCGGAUGUGCCGAGAGGUAAAAGAGAAAUUGCCUGAAGAUGAGCUCGCGUCUGAUUAGCUAGUUGGUGAGGUAAAGGCUCACCAAGGCAGCGAUCAGUAGCUGGUCUGAGAGGAUGACCAGCCACACUGGGACUGAGACACGGCCCAGACUCCUACGGGAGGCAGCAGUGGGGAAUUUUCCGCAAUGGGCGAAAGCCUGACGGAGCAAUACCGCGUGAGGGAAGAAGGCUCUUGGGUUGUAAACCUCUUUUCUUAGGGAAGAACAAAAUGACGGUACCUAAGGAAUCAGCAUCGGCUAACUCCGUG